rnacentral:rRNA from 1 species
GGUCAAGCUACAAAGGGCGCAUGGUGAAUGCCUUGGCAUCAGGAGCCGAUGAAGGACGUGAUAAGCUGCGAUAAGCUUCGGGUAGGCGCACAUAGCCUGAGAUCCGAAGAUCUCCGAAUGAGGAAACUCACAUGGGAAACCCCAUGUAUCAUUAAGUGAAUACAUAGCUUAAUGAAGGUAACCCAGGGAACUGAAACAUCUAAGUACCUGGAGGAAGAGAAAGAAAAAUCGAUUUUCUUAGUAGCGGCGAGCGAAAGGGAAAGAGCCCAAACCGGAAACUUGUUUCCGGGGUUGUGGACAUGACAUAAAAGUGGAGGCUAUUGUAACUGAAGAGAACUGGAAAGUUCCACCGUAGAAGGUAAUAGUCCUGUAAGUGAAACGAGAAGACCACGAGUUAUGAUCCAGAGUACCACGAGACACGUGAAACCUUGUGGGAAGCAGGGAGGACCACCUCCCAAGGCUAAAUACUACCUGAUGACCGAUAGUGAAGCAGUACCGUGAGGGAAAGGUGAAAAGAACCCCGGGAGGGGAGUGAAAUAGAACCUGAAACCGUGUGCCUACAACCGCUCAGAGCCCCUUAUGAGGGUGAUGAGGUGCUUUUUGUAGAACGAGCCAACGAGUUACGGUAUGUAGCAAGGUUAAGUACUUAAGGUACGGAGCCGAAGGGAAACCGAGUCUGAAUAGGGCGACUAGUUGCAUGCCGUAGACCCGAAACCGGGUGACCUAUCCAUGGCCAGGUUGAAGCGAGGGUAAAACCUCGUGGAGGACCGAACCACGUUGCUGUUGAAAAAGCAUGGGAUGAGCUGUGGAUAGCGGAGAAAUUCCAAUCGAACCCGGAGAUAGCUGGUUCUCUCCGAAAUAGCUUUAGGGCUAGCGUCGAGUAUGAGUAGUGGAGGUAGAGCACUGAAUGGGCUAGGGGGCAUAGCGCUUACCGAACCUUAUCAAACUCCGAAUGCCACAUACUUUGAGCUCGGCAGUCAGACUACGAAUGAUAAGAUCCGUGGUCAAAAGGGAAACAGCCCAGAUCGUCAGCUAAGGUCCCAAAGUGUAAGUUAAGUGGGAAAGGAUGUGAGAUUUCUAAGACAACUAGGAUGUUGGCUUAGAAGCAGCCAUUCAUUAAAAGAGUGCGUAAUAGCUCACUAGUCGAGAGAUCUUGCGCCGAAAAUGUAACGGGGCUAAACUUACCACCGAAGCUACGGGCUUGAACUUAGUUCAAGCGGUAGGAGAGCGUCGUAACCGGGCUGAAGUCGUACCGUAAGGAGCGGUGGACUGGUUACGAGUGAGAAUGUUGGCAUCAGUAGCGAGAUGUGGGUGAGAAUCCCACAGGCCGAAAACCUAAGGUUUCCUCAGGAAGGUUCGUCCGCUGAGGGUUAGUCGGGACCUAAGCCGAGGCCGAAAGGCGUAGGUGAUGGACAACUGGUUGAUAUUCCAGUACCACUACCAUCGUUAUUAUCGAUGGCGUGACGCAGGAGGAUAGUGUGUGCUAGCUAUUGGAUGCUAGUCUAAGCGUUUAGGCAGUGAAAGUAGGCAAAUCCGCUUUCAUAAUGCUGAGGCGUGAUGGGGAAGGUUCUACGGAACCGAAGUACAUGAUUCCACGCUGCCAAGAAAAGCGUCUAGAGAGAGAAGUAGUGCCCGUACCGCAAACCGACACAGGUAGGUGAGGAGAGAAUCCUAAGGCCGGCGGAAGAAUUACAGUUAAGGAACUCGGCAAAUUGACCCCGUAAGUUCGCGAGAAGGGGUGCCUACGAGAGUAGGCCGCAGAGAAUAGGCCCAAGCAACUGUUUAGCAAAAACACAGGUCUCUGCUAAAGCGUAAGCUGAUGUAUAGGGGCUGACGCCUGCCCGGUGCUGGAAGGUUAAGGGGAACACUUAGCGCAAGCGAAGGUGUGAACUUAAGCCCCAGUAAACGGCGGCCGUAACUAUAACGGUCCUAAGGUAGCGAAAUUCCUUGUCAGGUAAGUUCUGACCCGCACGAAUGGCGUAAUGACUUGGGCACUGUCUCAACUGUAAAUCCGGCGAAGUUGUAGUGCGAGUGAAGAUGCUCGCUACCCGCGAUUGGACGGAAAGACCCCGUAGAGCUUUACUGUAGCUUAGCAUUGAGUUUUGGUAUUGUCUGUACAGGAUAGGUGGGAGACUAGGAAACCAGGGCGUCAGCCUUGGUGGAGUCAACCUUGGGAUACCACCCUGACAGUACUGAAAUUCUAACUGGCGGCCAUGAAUCUGGUCACAGGACAUUGUUAGGUGGGCAGUUUGACUGGGGCGGUCGCCUCCUAAAAAGUAACGGAGGCGCCCAAAGGUUCCCUCAGAACGGUCGGAAAUCGUUCGAAGAGUGCAAAGGCAGAAGGGAGCCUGACUGCGACACCCACAAGUGGAGCAGGGACGAAAGUCGGGCUUAGUGAUCCGGUGGUACCUCGUGGGAGGGCCAUCGCUCAACGGAUAAAAGCUACCUCGGGGAUAACAGGCUGAUCUCCCCCAAGAGUCCACAUCGACGGGGAGGUUUGGCACCUCGAUGUCGGCUCGUCGCAUCCUGGGGCUGAAGUAGGUCCCAAGGGUUGGGCUGUUCGCCCAUUAAAGCGGCACGCGAGCUGGGUUCAGAACGUCGUGAGACAGUUCGGUCCCUAUCCGUCGCGGGCGUAGGAAAUUUGAGAGGAGCUGUCCUUAGUACGAGAGGACCGGGAUGGACUGACCUCUGGUGUACCAGUUGUUCCGCCAGGAGCACAGCUGGGUAGCUAAGUCGGGAAUGGAUAAACGCUGAAAGCAUCUAAGCGUGAAGCCAACCUCAAGAUGAGAUUUCCCAUAGCAUAAGCUAGUAAGAUCCCUUGAAGAACACAAGGUUGAUAGGUCGGGGGUGUAAGCAUGGUAACAUGUUCAGCUGACCGAUACUAAUAGAUCGAGGGCUUGACCAA